rnacentral:rRNA from 1 species
UCGAUGAAGAACGCAGCGAAAUGCGAUAAGUAAUGUGAAUUGCAGAAUUCAGUGAACCAUCGAAUCUUUGAACGCACCUUGCACCCUUUGGCAUUCCGAAGGGUAUGCUCGUUUGAGUGUCAUUGUACUCUCACACUCUCCAAUUCGGAUUCGGGUUGGGGAGCGGUGGACUUGGGUGUUGCUGCUUUACUGUGGCUCACCUCAAAUGUGUUAGUGCAACUCCUGGUUGGACAUAGUACGGCGUGAUAAGUAUCUUCGCCGGCACCUCAGAAGAGGGUGGCUAAUCGGGAGCUCUGUGCUCCAAACCGUCUUUGGACAAUAUCUGACAACUUGACCUCAAAUCGAGUAGGACUACCCGCUGAACUUAA